GUUAAGGAUUAAUUAUAAUCCUAAUAAUCCAUGCUUAACAACCGCCUUUGUGGCGUCCUUCGUAAGGGUCGCGUCUGUUCAACGCGUCCCCUCACCUUGUAUAUAUAGCCUUGUGUGUCAUCAAUAAAGAGAUCUAGUUCAUUCCAAUCGCUUCUCUCUCUCGUUUACUAUAACACGUUAUCAGCACUGCUCUCCGCCAAGAGCGAUUCCGACGAGAAGAAGGCAAAAUGUGAGAAACAGAAAAUGACACGCGACUCUGUUUCUUCGCCUUCUUCGCGCAAGGGCCGUCGCCGCUGCUUCGUUGCUCGCCAGAGCCCGCCCGCGCCUGGCUGCGGCAGCGCCACGCCCGUGACCUCUCAACCUCUCCCGGCCGACGCCCAACGGCGCCACGCCUGUGGGCGCCCAUCCGCGUCGACCGUCGGAUCCCCCGCGCAACAGCGCCCCAGAAGCAGCCCCAACCAUCAAGCAGUGUAUGAUUCCCCGCGAACAUGGCGCUUCAUCUGCAGCGCGCAUCCUAGGGCGGCCCGUCGGCUCGCAUCAGAUGUGCUAGCCCGGCCAUCGGCCGCGUCGAGCACACCGCGACGCNNNNNN
rnacentral:lncRNA from 1 species